UCGGGAAUUUUGGGCAAUGGGGGCAACCCUGACCCAGCAACUCCGCGUGAGGGAUGAAGGCCCUCGGGUCGUAAACCUCUGUCGGGAGGGAAGAAGGGGCCGUCGGUCAAUAUCCGACGGUUUUGACGGUACCUCCAAAGGAAGCACCGGCUAACUCCGUGCCAGCAGCCGCGGUAAUACGGAGGGUGCAAGCGUUGUUCGGAAUCAUUGGGCGUAAAGCGGGUGUAGGCGGCUUGGUAAGUCGGGUGUGAAAGCCCUGGGCCCAACCCAGGAACUGCACUCGAAACUGCCUCGCUAGAGUCCCGGAGAGGGUGGCGGAAUUCCCGGUGUAGAGGUGAAAUUCGUAGAUAUCGGGAGGAACACCAGUGGCGAAGGCGGCCACCUGGACGGUGACUGACGCUGAGACCCGAAAGCGUGGGGAGCAAACAGGAUUAGAUACCCGUGUAGUCC
rnacentral:rRNA from 1 species